rnacentral:rRNA from 1 species
GAUGAACGCUGGCGGCAUGCCUAAUACAUGCAAGUCGAACGGACCGAAGGGAAAGCUUGCUUUCCUUGAAGUCAGUGGCGAACGGGUGAGUAACACGUAGGUAACCUGCCCAUGUGCCCGGGACAACGCCUGGAAACGGGUGCUAAAACCGGAUAGGUAGAGAGAUCGCAUGAACUUUCUAUUAAAGGGGCUACGGCCCUGAACAUGGAUGGACCUGCGGUGCAUUAGCUAGUUGGUGAGGUAACGGCCCACCAAGGCGACGAUGCAUAGCCGACCUGAGAGGGCGAACGGCCACAUUGGGACUGAGACACGGCCCAAACUCCUACGGGAGGCAGCAGUAGGGAAUUUUCGUCAAUGGGGGGAACCCUGAACGAGCAAUGCCGCGUGAGUGAAGACGGUCUUCGGAUUGUAAAGCUCUGUUGCGAGAGAAAAACGACACGGAUAGGGAAUGAU